rnacentral:tRNA from 1 species
GUUAUUUUGGCAGAUUAGUGCGAUAGAUUUAGAAUCUUUAUAUGUAAUUUUAUUACAAAUAAUACUUGUAUAU